GUAAGCUACUAAGAGCGAAUGGUGGAUGCCUUGACUGGUAAAGGCGAUGAAGGACGUACUAGACUGCGAUAAGCUACGGGGAGCUGUCAAGAAGCUUUGAUCCGUAGAUUUCCGAAUGGGGCAACCCAAUGUAUAGAGAUAUACAUUACCUAUAUAGGAGCGAACGAGGGGAAUUGAAACAUCUUAGUACCCUCAGGAAAAGAAAUCAAUAGAGAUUGCGUCAGUAGCGGCGAGCGAAAGCGCAAGAGGGCAAACCCAGUGCUUGCACUGGGGGUUGUAGGACUGCAAUGUGCAAGAGGUAAGUUUAGCAGAACAUUCUGGAAAGUAUAACCAUAGAGGGUGAUAGUCCCGUAUGCGAAAAACAAACCUUAGCUAGCAGUAUCCUGAGUAGGGCGGGACACGAGGAAUCCUGUCUGAAUCCGGGUCGACCACGAUCCAACCCUAAAUACUAAUACCAGAUCGAUAGUGCACAAGUACCGUGAGGGAAAGGUGAAAAGAACUGAGGUGAUCAGAGUGAAAUAGAACCUGAAACCAUUUGCUUACAAUCAUUCAGAGCCCUAUGUAGCAAUACAGGGUGAUGGACUGCCUUUUGCAUAAUGAGCCUGCGAGUUGUGGUGUCUGGCAAGGUUAAGCAAACGCGAAGCCGUAGCGAAAGCGAGUCUGAAUAGGGCGCUUAGUCAGAUGCUGCAGACCCGAAACGAAGUGAUCUAUCCAUGAGCAAGUUGAAGCUAGUGUAAGAACUAGUGGAGGACUGAACCCAUAGGCGUUGAAAAGCCCCGGGAUGACUUGUGGAUAGGGGUGAAAGGCCAAUCAAACUUCGUGAUAGCUGGUUCUCUCCGAAAUAUAUUUAGGUAUAGCGUUGUGUCGUAAUAUAAGGGGGUAGAGCACUGAAUGGGCUAGGGCAUACACCAAUGUACCAAACCCUAUCAAACUCCGAAUACCUUAUAUGUAAUCACAGCAGUCAGGCGGCGAGUGAUAAAAUCCGUCGUCAAGAGGGAAACAACCCAGACUACCAGCUAAGGUCCCUAAAUCUUACUUAAGUGGAAAACGAUGUGAAGUUACUUAAACAACCAGGAGGUUGGCUUAGAAGCAGCCAUCCUUUAAAGAAAGCGUAAUAGCUCACUGGUCUAGUGAUUUUGCGCGGAAAAUAUAACGGGGCUAAAGUAAGUACCGAAGCUGUAGACUUGCACACAACUUAGAUUAUUUAAGUUUAGAAUAUGAGAAACUAAGUUAUAUGUUUAGUUAUAUUUUUACUGAUUUUUAUAGAGUAAAGAUAGAAAUAAAACUUAGUAAAAUCAGUAAAAAUAUUCUUAGACUAAAGUUAAGUAGUUUAAGUUGUGUGCAAGUGGUAGGAGAGCGUUCUAUUUGCGUCGAAGGUAUACCGGUAAGGAGUGCUGGAGCGAAUAGAAGUGAGCAUGCAGGCAUGAGUAGCGAUAAUUAAUGUGAGAAUCAUUAACGCCGUAAACCCAAGGUUUCCUACGCGAUGCUCGUCAUCGUAGGGUUAGUCGGGUCCUAAGUCGAGUCCGAAAGGGGUAGACGAUGGCAAAUUGGUUAAUAUUCCAAUACCAACAUUAGUGUGCGAUGGAAGGACGCUUAGGGCUAAGGGGGCUAGCGGAUGGAAGUGCUAGUCUAAGGUCGUAGGAGGUUGUACAGGCAAAUCCGUAUAACAAUACUCCGAGAACUGAAAGGCUUUUUGAAGUCUUCGGAUGGAUAGAAGAACCCCUGAUGCCGUCGAGCCAAGAAAAGUUUCUAAGUUUAGCUAAUGUUGCCCGUACCGUAAACCGACACAGGUGGGUGGGAUGAGUAUUCUAAGGCGCGUGGAAGAACUCUCUUUAAGGAACUCUGCAAAAUAGCACCGUAUCUUCGGUAUAAGGUGUGGUUAGCUUUGUAUUAGGAUUUACUCCGAAAGCAAGGAAACUUACAACAAAGAGUCCCUCCCGACUGUUUACCAAAAACACAGCACUCUGCUAACUCGUAAGAGGAUGUAUAGGGUGUGACGCCUGCCCGGUGCUCGAAGGUUAAUUGAUGGGGUUAGCAUUAGCGAAGCUCUUGAUCGAAGCCCGAGUAAACGGCGGCCGUAACUAUAACGGUCCUAAGGUAGCGAAAUUCCUUGUCGGUUAAAUACCGACCUGCAUGAAUGGCGUAACGAGAUGGGAGCUGUCUCAAAGAGGGAUCCAGUGAAAUUGUAGUGGAGGUGAAAAUUCCUCCUACCCGCGGCAAGACGGAAAGACCCCGUGGACCUUUACUACAGCUUGACACUGCUACUUGGAUAAGAAUGUGCAGGAUAGGUGGGAGGCUUUGAGUAUAUGACGCCAGUUGUAUAUGAGCCAUUGUUGAGAUACCACUCUUUCUUAUUUGGGUAGCUAACCAGCUUGAGUUAUCCUCAAGUGGGACAAUGUCUGGUGGGUAGUUUGACUGGGGCGGUCGCCUCCCAAAUAAUAACGGAGGCUUACAAAGGUUGGCUCAGAACGGUUGGAAAUCGUUCGUAGAGUAUAAAGGUAUAAGCCAGCUUAACUGCAAGACAUACAAGUCAAGCAGAGACGAAAGUCGGUCUUAGUGAUCCGGUGGUUCUGUGUGGAAGGGCCAUCGCUCAAAGGAUAAAAGGUACCCCGGGGAUAACAGGCUGAUCUCCCCCAAGAGCUCACAUCGACGGGGAGGUUUGGCACCUCGAUGUCGGCUCAUCGCAUCCUGGGGCUGGAGCAGGUCCCAAGGGUAUGGCUGUUCGCCAUUUAAAGCGGUACGCGAGCUGGGUUCAGAACGUCGUGAGACAGUUCGGUCCCUAUCUGCCGUGGGCGUAAGAAGAUUGAAGAGAU
rnacentral:rRNA from 1 species